UACGUAGGGCGCAAGCAUUGUCCGGAAUUAUUGGGCGUAAAGAGCUCGUAGGCGGCUUGUCACGUCGGGUGUGAAAGCCCGGGGCUUAACCCCGGGUCUGCAUUCGAUACGGGCAGGCUGGAGUUCGGUAGGGGAGAUCGGAAUUCCUGGUGUAGCGGUGAAAUGCGCAGAUAUCAGGAGGAACACCGGUGGCGAAGGCGGAUCUCUGGGCCGAUACUGACGCUGAGGAGCGAAAGCGUGGGGAGCGAACAGG
rnacentral:rRNA from 1 species